GGCUGUUAAAAUUUUUUCCUCUUUUCCGAUGUCUUCCGAUUUCAAAGUUAUGUUUCUUCGAUCUAUCACAUCAAAUUUGUGCUUUCCUCGCAAUGUGUAACAAUUCCUUGAUUCGUUUAUAAUUUUAUUUAGGAAAUAAGUGAAAGAUUAAAAAAAGAACAGAUGAUGAAGUAUAUAUGUAAGUAUACUUAUCACAUCCUUUUUACGUAACAAGGAGACUCGUCAAGUGUAUUAGCUGAAACGCGGCCAUAGUUGAGCAACGAGGAAGGCCGUUACAUCGUAACGGCCACCGGUGUGUGCAGUACGGAAUGUGGAAUCGCGGAUGAAAAAACGUGUCACGAAUCCUUGACCUCCUCUCGUAUACACAAGGUGCUAGCCUAGGAGAGCACUUGGGCGAUCAACCACAAGAAAGAUGGCUUCCUAAAUACUUUUAGAUUCUUCAAUCCCUUUUUUCACUUAUAAUAGAGUUUCUUAGAGUAGGUACUGAACGGUUCUUCGAUGGAUACAGUUCCAUUUCUAAGAUCUACUGACGUGAAAAUGUUAUGAAAAAGGAAAGAUCGAUCAAUCUUACGAGAACUUGUUAUCUAUCUGUUAAAAAAAUGACGAUAAUUCAUGUGACGUUAUCGCGAUCGACCUUCUAAGAUCUAAUAUACAAAUCUGUAUAUUUAGAUCAAUAACGUUAUGGUUGCUCGUUGUGGUUGUAAUUUCAAAAUAAUAAGAUAGAUCGAAUUGAUCGGAGUAUUUUAUCGGUAAAUCAAAUGUCGUUUGUCUGUUUAAUUCUGGAUCGAUCGGAAUUUUAUGACGUUGCUUUUAUGUAGACAUUUGGCCCCAUUUUUUUCUUUUUAUUUUCCUUUCCUUUUCUUUUUCUCAACGUUUGAAUUGCGCCAACUCUCGCUUGCAAAAUAAUUGUGCGCAUUUAAACGAACGAAAAUCAGAAACGUAAAAAUGCGAGAAAAAUAAAUGAAAUCGGCACAUCAUAUUUCAAAGUUAAAAGAUACUCGAAUCUUGUAUGAGAAGUUACGAAUAACCGGCUGAACUCUGGCAUGCCAGGCUAGACGAUCCUUGACCUUCUGCCGCAUACCAAAGAAAUUCUGAAACAACGUUGUUUCUUACGCACGAAUGUAGGAGUUUCUUCUUAUUCUCAUCGCAACGAGGACAACGACCACCCACGAGAGAUAUACUUAUUUGAUAAAAUUAUUAUUUAUAAACAUAAAAAUAAUAAUCGAUCUAUUUUUCUGAUAGCGUCGUUGACUCGUUAUCGGAAAAAUAAAUAAAUAUCACGUGAAGGCAUAAAAAAAUUUUUUCGAUUAAAAAAACUACACUUAGUCCCUGCUUUUACUAAUUUAAAUUUCUCUUUCGUAAAGUAAGUAUUACUUAUAUUUCUUGAUAAAUGUAAUUCAAUUAAAAUGCCUUUCGCUUCCAUUGAAAUAAUUUUUUUUAUUGAAAAUCUUAAUAAUAUUAAAUAAAGAAUACAUUUUCUUAGUGUUAUAUGUAAUUUUCAAAAUUUUAAAAUCCAGAAAUUCGUGACGUAGAAGAAGAAACUACGUGUACUUCUGGAGAAAUACAUUCGUUGCUUACAACUUACAUACUUCCUGAUUACAACUUUAAACUUCCUGAUUACAAUUGAACUUCGUGCGAACGCAAGGAACCUCGUUGACAACCGAUUUGGAAAAUGAAGCAACGGACUUGGCGCGUUCGCCUUUCGAUAUAAUCGAUUUCCAUCACUUUGAAGUCUUCUUGACUGUGCUUCUACGAUAAGACUAGAAGGAAAGCAUGUUCGAUCGCAUAUUACUUGAAGGAAAAGAGAGAGAGAGAGAGAGAGAAAGAAAGAAAGAGCUCUUCUAUCUUCUACAUAUACUCUUACGUACUGCAUAAUGUGUAUUGUGAACAACGAGGUGAAGAUGUCAUCUAUUAGCCUGAUAUGUUGCAGGUUAACUUAUGGAAAGAUAUGACCGCUCCAAUGCCUUCUGAAAUUGAAUUACAUGCAUGGUGAUCCACGCGAAAGAGGUGACUACCUGUGCAUGCAGAAUGAGGACAUGUUAAGGCACUAUUUGUAUUACAUGUAACCUGGAGAACGUCUGGUUGGAUGCCAAGGAUAAAAGUAAGUAAGAUUCUCCAAACAAUCGUAAGAUUCACUCUGAUAUCUUACCUUAAUCUUCCUUUUUUUUUUAUUUUUAAUAAGAAAAAGAAGAAUAUUAUCGUAAUUUAAAAAAAUGGAAAACUACAUUAUUACACAUAUGUUAGAUUAAACUAUAAUUUAUUAGUAGAUAUAUGUUGUAUUUUUGCAACGUCAUGCAUUUAAUCUCGCUGUUAUCAUGAAUUUAUUAUAAAAAAUUAUAAUUAUUGUUUCUUUCGUAAAAAAAUUCUUUAUUCUUUGUAAAAUAUUUAUACUCACAAAGAUACAACAAUUCUUGUCAAAGCAGACGUUUAAAUAAUAGACGUUUAAUUAAAUCGAUAGGAUUAUAUAUGUAUUCGUAUCAUUCGAUUGGAAAGACAGGUUCUUUACAAUUUGAAAAUAAUAUGUUUUAUAAACAUGUUGCAUCCUGUGAGCCACGCGAGCAUGUAACAGCCUAACGGAAAGAUGUAUAGAGAAUGCGUGACAAGAAUCCAUGGUCUAUACAGACAGAUCUGUUUAGCUUCCGGUGUUUAUCGUAUCCUAACGAGCUUUGUAGUAGUCAGCCUUACAGAUAAGGAUAGCUCGUGAAUGAUACACCUCCCUUUCCUCUCCACACGUUACCUUUUAUGGACGUUUUACGAUAUACGUUUACAAGCGUACGCGUGCUGGGCGUCAGAUGAAUGAAUUUCCAUGUGGUACUACGUAAUCGUAUAUUCUAAGUAUUCAAAUGAAAGAAUCAAAUGAUUUCCUUUUUGUAUAAAAUUAACGACUUGGUAAGAAAAAAAAAGAAAAGAAAAAAAAGGAAGGAAGAAAGAAAAAAUGAAAAAAGAAAGAAAAAAGAAUGAAAAAUAAAGAUAACAAUUUUGUUUUCAAUCAUUACUAAAACGAACGAUCCAUGUAAAAUCGUGUUUGCACUCGAGCCAAUUACCGAAUGAAAUGGAAUUUAAUUAAACGAGCUCUUCGAAGUUUUUUCGUUUGAGUCUACCAAUAUCGUCUCCUCUUCCUGUUAUAUCUCUUCUUUCGUUUUUCCGUUUUGAUAAUCAACGCCUAUGGUGCAAUAAUGAUACAGCGACAACGACGACGACGACGACGACGACGACGCACGACAACUCAUAUGAAAGUACGAACACAUUGGAGUCCUAUGCAAAUGAAACUAUGUUGCACAUACCGAGACAUCGAUCGCGAUCGGGUAACGGUUUACCUGCAUGCAAUACGAACAUAGUGGAGUAUCGAUCAGUUCCCUUUCAUAAAGUACGCAUUACGUGCUUGGAAAACCGUUCGUUGUAUAAACUACCAACGUAUAACACGAUACGAUCCAUUCUCAAUACAAUUGUAAAUACAAGCAAGAUGGAAAUGAAUUGACUUGGCUGGAUGAAGCCAAAUGCCUGAUUUCCGCUUUGAACAUGUGUAUAGGAAUUAAACGUGUUCGAUUUUUUAAUGUAUAUAUCCUAUGUAAUCAAAGUAUAAAUAUUUUUAUAAUUAGUUAUAUGUCUAGAAUAUGAAGUUAAGAUGUUACAUCUUAGUAGGAUUUCUAUAAUAAAUGUAAUAAAUAGGAUGUAAUAAUGAAUAGAUUGUAAUAAUGAAAUUGUAAUAAAAUACAUAAUCCUGUAUAUAUAUUUAUAUAUACAUAUAUAUCAAAACCAUUGUUAGUAUCAAACAACCUGUUUCAAUCCGAAACUUACUCGACAAAAACAACAAAAGUUUGAAGUUAUAUUAUAAUUAUAAAAAUCAUGUGACUGUUAUUGACAUUAUUUCAGAAUCAUUUCUGUUUUGUAAGAGGAUAAGCAUACACCAUUCCGUAUUUCACCGAAGGCCCUUUUCCUUUUUUCCUUGCACCCUCUUCUUUCUGCCGAUGGCAGAUGCUCUGCUAUAAUAGUUUCUAUUUUUGGUUAGUAGAAGGGUCGGUCCGUCCGUCCGUUCGAAUCUACGAUCAUCUUGCAUGGAUACAGAUGUUUCUUCUAGGGCAGCCCUCGAAGCUGAAGAGAAAUAGCAGGAAUGGGAAAAAUAUCAGGCCUGGAGACGAUAGAAAAACGAAGGGUAUGAGCUCACAUUGCGGAUAGAUAAACAGUCACGUAGAAGCGAAUGAAGGAGAAGGAACAAAAAGCGACGGGAGAGAAGAAUACUGGCGGAGUGGCACGACUUUUGUCGAUCGAACCUAAGACUCUUCAUUCUCCCUUAAAACGGUCCUUGGAUCACGAGACUUUUCCUCCUCAACAUCUCUCGACUCUUUUUAUAAGAUAGAAGUCGAAUUGUGGAGAAAAUAAAAAGUAAUUUCUAGAAGAUACUUCUCAACGUGAAGGAACUUAAAGAUAGAAGAAUUUAACGACCUGGCAUAUAAGGAAAUUUACUAUUAUAAGAUAUUAUAAAUAUUACAAAUUUGUUAGUUCUUAAAGAUCAUAAUCGCAGAUUACUAGUUAUUAAGUUAAAUGUUAUAAAGGAAGGACGGACUAUUUACAAAAUAAAUUUUGUUUACUUCGCUCGCUAAUUUCAGAAACAAAAUGGUUCGCCCUUCCUUUACAUCAAUAUUAUACUGUAUUAUAUUAUAUUAUAUAAUAUUAUAUAUAUAAAAACAAUAGUAUAAUAUAUAUGAAAAAGUAAACAUUUGUAUUAGUAUCAAAAACAAUGUAUUUACUAUGAAUUAAUAAAAUUCAAAAUAAAAAUGUUCAUGCUAAAAAAGAAAA